rnacentral:rRNA from 1 species
UUAUCGGAGAGUUUGAUCCUGGCUCAGGACGAACGCUGGCGGCGUGCCUAAUACAUGCAAGUCGAGCGGAUUGAUGGGAGCUUGCUCCCAUCAGUCAGCGGCGGAYGGGUGAGUAACACGUGGGUAACCUGCCUGUAAGACUGGGAUAACUCCGGGAAACCGGGGCUAAUACCGGAUAACUCAUUUCCUCGCAUGAGGAAAUGUUGAAAGGUGGCUUUUAGCUAUCACUUACAGAUGGACCCGCGGCGCAUUAGCUAGUUGGUGAGGUAACGGCUCACCAAGGCGACGAUGCGUAGCCGACCUGAGAGGGUGAUCGGCCACACUGGGACUGAGACACGGCCCAGACUCCUACGGGAGGCAGCAGUAGGGAAUCUUCCGCAAUGGA